UUAAGCGACUAAGCGUACACGGUGGAUGCCCUGGCAGUCAGAGGCGAUGAAGGACGUGCUAAUCUGCGAUAAGCGUCGGUAAGGUGAUAUGAACCGUUAUAACCGGCGAUUUCCGAAUGGGGAAACCCAGUGUGAUUCGUCACACUAUCAUUAACUGAAUCCAUAGGUUAAUGAGGCGAACCGGGGGAACUGAAACAUCUAAGUACCCCGAGGAAAAGAAAUCAACCGAGAUUCCCCCAGUAGCGGCGAGCGAACGGGGAGGAGCCCAGAGCCUGAAUCAGUGUGUGUGUUAGUGGAAGCGUCUGGAAAGGCGCGCGAUACAGGGUGACAGCCCCGUACACAAAAAUGCACAUGCUGUGAGCUCGAUGAGUAGGGCGGGACACGUGGUAUCCUGUCUGAAUAUGGGGGGACCAUCCUCCAAGGCUAAAUACUCCUGACUGACCGAUAGUGAACCAGUACCGUGAGGGAAAGGCGAAAAGAACCCCGGCGAGGGGAGUGAAAAGAACCUGAAACCGUGUACGUACAAGCAGUGGGAGCACAGAGCAAUCUGUGUGACUGCGUACCUUUUGUAUAAUGGGUCAGCGACUUAUAUUCUGUAGCAAGGUUAACCGAAUAGGGGAGCCGAAGGGAAACCGAGUCUUAACUGGGCGUUAAGUUGCAGGGUAUAGACCCGAAACCCGGUGAUCUAGCCAUGGGCAGGUUGAAGGUUGGGUAACACUAACUGGAGGACCGAACCGACUAAUGUUGAAAAAUUAGCGGAUGACUUGUGGCUGGGGGUGAAAGGCCAAUCAAACCGGGAGAUAGCUGGUUCUCCCCGAAAGCUAUUUAGGUAGCGCCUCGUGAAUUCAUCUCCGGGGGUAGAGCACUGUUUCGGCAAGGGGGUCAUCCCGACUUACCAACCCGAUGCAAACUGCGAAUACCGGAGAAUGUUAUCACGGGAGACACACGGCGGGUGCUAACGUCCGUCGUGAAGAGGGAAACAACCCAGACCGCCAGCUAAGGUCCCAAAGUCAUGGUUAAGUGGGAAACGAUGUGGGAAGGCCCAGACAGCCAGGAUGUUGGCUUAGAAGCAGCCAUCAUUUAAAGAAAGCGUAAUAGCUCACUGGUCGAGUCGGCCUGCGCGGAAGAUGUAACGGGGCUAAACCAUGCACCGAAGCUGCGGCAGCGACACUGUGUGUUGUUGGGUAGGGGAGCGUUCUGUAAGCCUGUGAAGGUGUGCUGUGAGGCAUGCUGGAGGUAUCAGAAGUGCGAAUGCUGACAUAAGUAACGAUAAAGCGGGUGAAAAGCCCGCUCGCCGGAAGACCAAGGGUUCCUGUCCAACGUUAAUCGGGGCAGGGUGAGUCGACCCCUAAGGCGAGGCCGAAAGGCGUAGUCGAUGGGAAACAGGUUAAUAUUCCUGUACUUGGUGUUACUGCGAAGGGGGGACGGAGAAGGCUAUGUUGGCCGGGCGACGGUUGUCCCGGUUUAAGCGUGUAGGCUGGUUUUCCAGGCAAAUCCGGAAAAUCAAGGCUGAGGCGUGAUGACGAGGCACUACGGUGCUGAAGCAACAAAUGCCCUGCUUCCAGGAAAAGCCUCUAAGCAUCAGGUAACAUCAAAUCGUACCCCAAACCGACACAGGUGGUCAGGUAGAGAAUACCAAGGCGCUUGAGAGAACUCGGGUGAAGGAACUAGGCAAAAUGGUGCCGUAACUUCGGGAGAAGGCACGCUGAUAUGUAGGUGAAGUCCCUCGCGGAUGGAGCUGAAAUCAGUCGAAGAUACCAGCUGGCUGCAACUGUUUAUUAAAAACACAGCACUGUGCAAACACGAAAGUGGACGUAUACGGUGUGACGCCUGCCCGGUGCCGGAAGGUUAAUUGAUGGGGUCAGCGCAAGCGAAGCUCUUGAUCGAAGCCCCGGUAAACGGCGGCCGUAACUAUAACGGUCCUAAGGUAGCGAAAUUCCUUGUCGGGUAAGUUCCGACCUGCACGAAUGGCGUAAUGAUGGCCAGGCUGUCUCCACCCGAGACUCAGUGAAAUUGAACUCGCUGUGAAGAUGCAGUGUACCCGCGGCAAGACGGAAAGACCCCGUGAACCUUUACUAUAGCUUGACACUGAACAUUGAGCCUUGAUGUGUAGGAUAGGUGGGAGGCUUUGAAGUGUGGACGCCAGUCUGCAUGGAGCCGACCUUGAAAUACCACCCUUUAAUGUUUGAUGUUCUAACGUGGACCCGUGAUCCGGGUUGCGGACAGUGUCUGGUGGGUAGUUUGACUGGGGCGGUCUCCUCCUAAAGAGUAACGGAGGAGCACGAAGGUUGGCUAAUCCUGGUCGGACAUCAGGAGGUUAGUGCAAUGGCAUAAGCCAGCUUGACUGCGAGCGUGACGGCGCGAGCAGGUGCGAAAGCAGGUCAUAGUGAUCCGGUGGUUCUGAAUGGAAGGGCCAUCGCUCAACGGAUAAAAGGUACUCCGGGGAUAACAGGCUGAUACCGCCCAAGAGUUCAUAUCGACGGCGGUGUUUGGCACCUCGAUGUCGGCUCAUCACAUCCUGGGGCUGAAGUAGGUCCCAAGGGUAUGGCUGUUCGCCAUUUAAAGUGGUACGCGAGCUGGGUUUAGAACGUCGUGAGACAGUUCGGUCCCUAUCUGCCGUGGGCGCUGGAGAACUGAGGGGGGCUGCUCCUAGUACGAGAGGACCGGAGUGGACGCAUCACUGGUGUUCGGGUUGUCAUGCCAAUGGCACUGCCCGGUAGCUAAAUGCGGAAGAGAUAAGUGCUGAAAGCAUCUAAGCACGAAACUUGCCCCGAGAUGAGUUCUCCCUGACCCUUUAAGGGUCCUGAAGGAACGUUGAAGACGACGACGUUGAUAGGCCGGGUGUGUAAGCGCAGCGAUGCGUUGAGCUAACCGGUACUAAUGAACCGUGAGGCUUAACCUU
rnacentral:rRNA from 1 species